rnacentral:rRNA from 1 species
UACAGGGGUCUCAAGCGUUGUUCGGAUUCAUUGGGCGUAAAGGGUGCGUAGGCGGCGGGGUAAGUCGGAUGUGAAAUCUCAGGGCUCAACCCUGAAACUGCAUUCGAUACUGCUCUGCUUGAGGACUCGAGAGGAGAUUGGAAUUCACGGUGUAGCAGUGAAAUGCGUAGAUAUCGUGAGGAAGACCAGUGGCGAAGGCGGAUCUCUGGAGAGUUCCUGACGCUGAGGCACGAAGGCCAGGGGAGCAAACGGG